UGCAGGAUCUGAGAGUGGGGCUGCUGGUGCGGUGCCAGGAUGUGCAUGAAGGGGGCCGGAGCGUAACCAGCCGCGGCUGGGGGGUUGAUGGGACCACCACUGCCCAGGGCCGAGGGCAGGCUGAAGGAAGUUGCCGGUGUGGUUGCAUGGAAACCCUGCUGCUUCUCAAAAGACUGCUGCUGGAGGGAUAAACACAACAACGUUGGUCGCCCUGUCCUUACUAGUGUGCGGUUUUUACAUUUGUUUGCAUACAUACAACCUUUUAUACAGACACUGGUUGUCAUAAACUUUCCGUAUGUCUCAGAACAGAUACAUUUAUUCCAGUGUUUGUACCACUGUAGCAUCAUUCUCACCUGCUGUGUCUUUGUGUAAACAGACCCUGAAAUGUCUGGGACCCCUGUGUUGCUUGACGUGACCGAGACCCCUGCAGAGGAAACAAAGGGGUUCGGACAUAUUUACUUCACCAUGUCUACAGGUCUCAACCCCUGCAGGAGAGCACCUUGGUGCCUAAUGAUGAGUAGUCCUGGGGGACAGAACAGAAGAGUAACAGAAGAAUGGAGGCAGACAGAGGGUGACGGUUGACUGCAACAGGUGUCAGAGUCUUCUCUGUGGUGUGGACGGGUGUGUUUAGUCUUACCAGUGUUGUAACCAUGGGAACCGUAGCCGCUGGCCUGCUGGAAGGCUGUUGCCGAGGCGUUGACUCCAACGUUCACACCGUGCUGCUUUGACGAGGUAGGAGCAACCUGGAAACACAGACAGG